rnacentral:rRNA from 1 species
AGGACGAACGCUGGCGGCGUGCUUAACACAUGCAAGUCGAGCGGAAAGGCCCUUCGGGGUACUCGAGCGGCGAACGGGUGAGUAACACGUGAGGAACCUGCCCUUAACUCUGGGAUAGCUUCGGGAAACCGGAAUUAAUACCGGAUACGACUGCGACCGGCAUCGGUCGCGGUGGAAAGAUUCAUCGGUUGGGGAUGGACUCGCGGCCUAUCAGCUUGUUGGUGAGGUAACGGCUCACCAAGGCGACGACGGGUA